UACGAAGGGGCUAGCGUUGCUCGGAAUCACUGGGCGUAAAGGGUGCGUAGGCGGGUCUUUAAGUCAGGGGUGAAAUCCUGGAGCUCAACUCCAGAACUGCCUUUGAUACUGAGGAUCUUGAGUCCGGGAGAGUGAGUGGAACUGGCGAGUGUAGAGGUGAAAUUCGUAGAUAUUCGCAAGACACCAGUGGCGAAGGCGGCUCACCUGGCCCGGUACUGACGCUGAGGCACGAAAGCGUGGGGAGCAAC
rnacentral:rRNA from 1 species